CAGGUAUAAGAAGAGAUUUCAUAAGUUUGAUGCAGACCAGAAAGGCUUUAUUACCAUUGUUGAUGUUCAGCGUGUAUUAGAGAGUAUCAAUGUCCAAAUGGAUGAAAAUACACUCCAUGAAAUUCUAAAUGAAGUUGAUUUGAAUAAAAAUGGACAGGUUGAACUCAAUGAAUUUUUGCAGCUGAUGAGUGCUAUUCAAAAAGGAAGGGUAUCUGGAAGCCGACUUGCUAUACUAAUGAAAACUGCAGAAGAGAACCUCGACAGAAGAGUUCCAAUUCCAGUGGACCGUAGUUGUGGAGGAUUGUGAGUCUGGGCAGUAAAUCCACAGCCAACAAACAUAGAAACGACAAAUCACCAUGUAACAACCAGAGAUGACUGAAACCACUCUAAAAUAAUGAAUGUGGAUAGCUGCCUUUUUUAACACUAGAAAACAUUCC
rnacentral:sRNA from 1 species